AACGAACGCUGGCGGCGCGCCUAAUACAUGCAAGUCGAGCGAGAAGACGUAGCAAUACGUUUGUAAAGCGGCGAACGGGUGAGGAAUACAUGGGUAACCUACCCUCGAGUGGGGAAUAACUAGCCGAAAGGUUAGCUAAUACCGCGUACGCUCCUUGGACUUCGGUUCAGGGAGGAAAGCGAUACCGUGGGUAUCGCGCUCUUGGAUGGGCUCAUGUCCUAUCAGCUUGUUGGUGAGGAACGGCUCACCAAGGCUUCGACGGGUAGCUGGUCUGAGAGGACAAUCAGCCACACUGGCACUGCGACACGGGCCAGACUCCUACGGGAGGCAGCAGUAAGGAAUAUUGCGCAAUGGGCGAAAGCCUGACGCAGCGACGCCGCGUGGGGGAUGAAGGUCUUCGGAUUGUAAACCCCUUUCGGGAGGGAAGAUGGAACGAGCAAUCGUUCGGACGGUACCUCCAGAAGCAGCCACGGCUAACUUCGUGCC
rnacentral:rRNA from 1 species